rnacentral:rRNA from 1 species
UCUAAUACCGGAUAAUACUCCUGCCUGCAUGGGUGGGGGUUGAAAGCUCCGGCGGUGAAGGAUGAGCCCGCGGCCUAUCAGCUUGUUGGUGGGGUAAUGGCCUACCAAGGCGACGACGGG